AAAGCCCACAUCUUCUUGCUUCUCCUCUCUUUUUCCCCAGCUCUCUGUCUCUCUCAAUCUCACUCGAUUCAAGCUCUCUCCAAGCCAAAUCCUUCUUAUCUCAUCUCGAUCUCUCACUCGAUUCAAGCUCUCUCUGUCUCUCACUCUCUCGAACUCGAUCUCUGUCUCACUUUCAGUCUCUGGAUUUCUUGAUCUGUCUCUGUCUCACUCUCUUAAUCUCUCGAUUUCUCCAUCUUUCUGAUCUGUCUCAGGCUCUCAGCCCUUUCUCAAUCUCAACUCUCUGGAAUAACAAGCAGCCCCAAAUCGACGAAGGGACAAAUGCUGUAGUGAUAAGAACAAGAAUCUUUAUAUAAAUGAAGCUUGGAUUGCAUAACUUUCUGUUUUUUUCAUUUAUGUUUGGAUUGUGUUUGUAAUUUUGUAAGCCAUAAGGCAUAAUUUUAACUAUUUUGGUUUGUAAGCCAUAAGGCAUGAGUUUUAACCAUUUGGAUUUGGUUGAUUUGGAUAUUGAAUGUGUUGAGGGAUAUUGAUUUGGUUGAUUAGGAUUUGGA